rnacentral:rRNA from 1 species
UCGAGCGGUAGGCCUUUCGGGGUACACGAGCGGCGAACGGGUGAGUAACACGUGGGUGAUCUGCCCUGCACUUCGGGAUAAGCCUGGGAAACUGGGUCUAAUACCGGAUAUGACCUCCUAUCGCAUGGUGGGUGGUGGAAAGAUUUAUCGGUGCAGGAUGGGCCCGCGGCCUAUCAGCUUGUUGGUGGGGUAAUGGCCUACCAAGGCGACGACGGGUAGCCGACCUGAGAGGGUGACCGGCCACACUGGGACUGAGACACGGCCCAGACUCCUACGGGAGGCAGCAGUGGGGAAUAUUGCACAAUGGGCGAAAGCCUGAUGCAGCGACGCCGCGUGAGGGAUGACGGCCUUCGGGUUGUAAACCUCUUUCAGCAGGGACGAAGCGCAAGUGACGGUACCUGCAGAAGAAGCACCGGCUAACUACGUGCCAGCAGCCGCGGUAAUACGUAGGGUGCAAGCGUUGUCCGGAAUUACUGGGCGUAAAGAGUUCGUAGGCGGUUUGUCGCGUCGUUUGUGAAAACCAGCAGCUCAACUGCUGGCUUGCAGGCGAUACGGGCAGACUUGAGUACUGCAGGGGAGACUGGAAUUCCUGGUGUAGCGGUGAAAUGCGCAGAUAUCAGGAGGAACACCGGUGGCGAAGGCGGGUCUCUG